AAAACAACUUAGAACAGAAAUAGUAAUACUAGUCAAAGUAAUAGAGAGUCUUUGCUGGUGGAAAUAAGAUAUUUGCUAGUAUGAAUCACAUCUGUGAGUUGGUCUUCUGAACAAAAGUAGGAAAAUCCGGGAUAGCCCGUUAUAGCUAAAGGUUGAUUAUUGAACUUAUUGAGGCAAGUUGCGUGAGCAAUUUGUAAACAUGAGGUGGAACCGCGAUUACAUUCGCCCUCGUA
rnacentral:ncRNA from 1 species